rnacentral:rRNA from 1 species
AUUGAACGCUGGCGGCAGGCCUAACACAUGCAAGUCGAGCGGAUGAAGGGAGCUUGCUCCUGGAUUCAGCGGCGGACGGGUGAGUAAUGCCUAGGAAUCUGCCUGGUAGUGGGGGAUAACGUCCGGAAACGGGCGCUAAUACCGCAUACGUCCUGAGGGAGAAAGUGGGGGAUCUUCGGACCUCACGCUAUCAGAUGAGCCCAGGUCGGAUUAGCUAGUUGGUGGGGUAAAGGCCUACCAAGGCGACGAUCCGUAACUGGCCUGAGAGGAUGAUCAGUCACACUGGAACUGAGACACGGUCCAGACUCCUACGGGAGGCAGCAGUGGGGAAUAUUGGACAAUGGGCGAAAGCCUGAUCCAGCCAUGCCGCGUGUGUGAAGAAGGUCUUCGGAUUGUAAAGCACUUUAAGUUGGGAGGAAGGGCAGUAAGUUAAUACCUUGCUGUUUUGACGUUACCAACAGAAUAAGCACCGGCUAACUUCGUG